rnacentral:rRNA from 1 species
GAAACUGCGAAUGGCUCAUUAAAUCAGUUAUCGUUUAUUUGAUAGUACCUUACUACUUGGAUAACCGUGGUAAUUCUAGAGCUAAUACAUGCUAAAAACCCCGACUUCGGAAGGGGUGUAUUUAUUAGAUAAAAAACCAAUGCCCUUCGGGGCUCCUUGGUGAUUCAUAAUAACUUAACGAAUCGCAUGGCCUUGUGCCGGCGAUGGUUCAUUCAAAUUUCUGCCCUAUCAACUUUCGAUGGUAGGAUAGUGGCCUACCAUGGUUUCAACGGGUAACGGGGAAUUAGGGUUCUAUUCCGGAGAGGGAGCCUGAGAAACGGCUACCACAUCCAAGGAAGGCAGCAGGCGCGCAAAUUACCCAAUCCCGACACGGGGAGGUAGUGACAAUAAAUACUGAUACAGGGCUCUUUUGGGUCUUGUAAUUGGAAUGAGUACAAUUUAAAUCCCUUAACGAGGAACAAUUGGAGGGCAAGUCUGGUGCCAGCAGCCGCGGUAAUUCCAGCUCCAAUAGCGUAUAUUAAAGUUGUUGCAGUUAAAAAGCUCGUAGUUGAACCUUGGGCCUGGCUGACCGGUCCGCCUCAC